rnacentral:lncRNA from 1 species
UCUGUUGUUACAUUAAUGAAUUCCUUCUCCUUCAAUUCAAGUUCCCUAACCCGUUUAUCAAUAAAUCAAGCACCCCUCUUUACCGAAUCUUCAAACAAAUCAAGCUCUCCUUGGCCUGAUUUUCAAAAUACGCCUCUUUCGAAUUGAUAACCUUCAGUUUCUCCCCAAUCAAUUCAUUGAUCGGCUCAAAUUAAUUGCUUAUUUACCAAUUCCAUCAGUUCUUUGGUGCCGAAUUCUUGAACAGAAAUCGAGAUUCGACUUGAAGAACAGAAG